rnacentral:ncRNA from 1 species
CUCGUGUCCCUGGAAUCGGAUCAUCCAGAGAUAGGGAUGGCGAGUUCGUAAAAGCACCGCAGCUCUUGCGGUGUCCGGUACGCUCCUGUCGACCCUUGCAAAUCCGAGGGAGAGAUUAUGAUUUUCGUGCCAGACCGUACCCAUAUCCGCAGCAGGUCUCCAAGCUAAACAGCCUCUAGUCGAUAGAACAAUGUAGGUAAGGGAAGUCGGCAAGUUCGAUCCGUAACUUCAGGACAAGGAUUGGCUGUGAGGACUGGGCCCGUCGGGCUGGGGUCCGAAGCGGGUGUGGCACUGCACAGGACUGGGCGAGACAGGCCGUGAAAGCGGCCCGGACAAGCGUCGGGGCCUUCCCGUGGAAUGCCUCAGCUGCGCGGCGUACCGGGCACAAAGCUCAGAGCGACCGUUUCGGCGGGCAACUAACAGCCAACUCAGAACUGGCACAGAUUAAGGGAAUUCCACUGAAUACACUCUUUUGCAAAAAAAAUUGAAGCAGCAUAAAGGAAAUGGU